GAUUAAGCCAUGCAUGUGUAAGUAUAAAUAAUUAUAUAGUGAAACUGCGAAUGGCUCAUUAUAUCAGUUAUAGUUUAUUUGAUAAUUAAUUUGAAAUUUCGUAAGAAAUUUUAAUACUAAUUGGAUAACCGUAGUAAUUCUAGAGCUAAUACAUGAAUUAAAAUCCUAACCUUUAUGGAAAGGAUGUAUUUAUUAGAUGAUAAAACCAAUAUAAUUAAUAAGGUGAAUCAUAAUAAUUAAUCGAAUCGUAUGGUUGUAAAAUACUAACGAUAAAUCAUUCAAGUUUCUGCCCUAUCAGCUUUCGAUGGUAGUGUAUUGGACUACCAUG
rnacentral:rRNA from 1 species